rnacentral:misc_RNA from 1 species
UUUGCCACUGCCUAAACAUCCCGGUUUCUUCACUGAAAGGAAAGUUAAAGAUAUUGAUCAAUUUUCUUGGAGUACACAAACACCAAGUUCUAUAAACGAAAUUACCAUCACGCAGUUGAAUGCUCGAUAGAAGCAUGUCCGCUGACCAGAGUCAGGAUUUUCACUAAGGGUUUCAAAAUAUGAAAAAAGCAAUACACGAAGUCAAGACGAUUCAGUAAGUACUAUAUAUACAAAAACAAUUAAUUGUAGACUUGUAAUUUUUUGGCGA